CACGCCGUAAACGAUGGAUACUAGCUGUUGGGGGCAACUUCAGUGGCUAAGCGAAAGUGAUAAGUAUCCCACCUGGGGAGUACGUUCGCAAGAAUGAAACUCAAAGGAAUUGACGGGGGCCCGCACAAGCGGUGGAGCAUGUGGUUUAAUUCGAUGAUACGCGAGGAACCUUACCAAGGCUUAAAUGUAGAUUGACCGAUUUGGAAACAGAUCUUUCGCAAGACAAUUUACAAGGUGC
rnacentral:rRNA from 1 species